rnacentral:lncRNA from 1 species
GUUGCAAGUUCAGAUCAGCUGAGGGAUUUUGCUCUGAAGUGCAAUGCUCUCGUUUGUUGUUGCCCGUGUUUGCCCCCAAACUGGAGUGUGGAGAUUGAAUGUUGUUGGAGAUGGCGAAAAUGACUGGUCUUGGCCUUGGUUUCCCUAACCUGACCAGGCAACAAAAUCCUCGUUUCCUCAUCUUACGCCUAUGUAGUGGAUUAUAGGUUAACCAGAUUCCUACACGCUCCUUCUAGCAAACGAACCUCUGCUCGGUAGUAAACUCUAGUUGUUUCUCGUGC